AAUUGAUGUCCUGAGGUGUGCAGUGUUAUCACCGGGGUUUAUAUUCGAUGUCGGAUUGUGUGUAUUGUUAUCACCGGCGUGUAUGAAUGAUGUCCCGUGGGGUUAGCUGUUAUCACAGAGGUGUAUAUGAUUACCGUUGCGUGUAGUGUUAACACCGGGUUGUAUAAUCGAUGUCUCAUAGUGUGUAUUGUUAUCACCAGAGUGUAUAAUUGAUGUCGUAAGGUGUGUAGUGUUAUCACCGGGGUGUAUAUUUGAUGUCGCAUUGUGUGUAUUAUUAUCACCGUCGUGUAUAAUUGAUAUCCCGAGAUGUGUGUUGUUAGCACUGGGGUGUAUAUUUGAUUACCGUGGCGUGUAGUGUUAUCACGGGGAUGUAAAAUCGAUGUCCCAUGGUUUGUAUUGUUAUCACCUGGGUGUAUAAUUGAUGUCCCAUGGGGUGUAUUGUUAUCACCGUGCUGUAUAAUUGAUGUAUCGUGGUGUGUUUUGUUAUCCCUGGCGUGAAUAAUUGAUGUCCCGUUUCGUUAGUUGUUAUCACAGGGGUGUAUAUUUGAUGUCCCGUGGUGUGUAUUGUUAUCACCAGGAUGUUUAAUUUAUAUUCCGUGAUGUGUAUUGUUAUCAUCGGGGUGUAUAAUUGAUGUCCUGUGGCGUGUGUUGUUACCACCAGGUUGUAUAAUCGAUGUACCGUGAUGUGCAUUGUUAUCACUGGGGUGUAUAAUCGAUGUCCCGUGGUGUGUAUUGUUAUCACCGGGGUGUUUAAUAGAUGUCCAGUGGUGUGUAUUGUUAUCACCUUGAUGUAUAAUCGAUGUCCCGUGGUGUGUAUUGUUAUCACCGGUGUGUAUAAUCGAUGUCCCGUGAUGUGUAUUGUUAUCACCGUGGUAUAUAAUCGAUGUCCCGUGGUGUGUAUUGUUAUCACCGGGGUGUAUAAUCGAUGCCCCGUGGUGUGUAUUGUUAUCACAUUGGUGUAUAAUCGAUGUCCCGUGGUGUGUAUUGUUAUCACUGGGAUGUAUAAUUGAUGCCCCGUGGUGUGUAUUGUUAUCACCGUGGUGUAUAAUCGAUGUCCCGUGGUGUGUAUUGUUAUCACCGUGGUGUAUAAUCGAUGUAACAUGGUGUGUAUUGUUAUCACCGGGGUGUAUAAUCGAUGCCCCGUGGUGUGUAUUGUUAUCACCGUGGUGUAUAAUCGAUGUCUCGUGGUGUGUUUUGUUAUCCCUGGCUUGAAUACUUGAUGUCCCGUUUCGUUAGUUGUUAUCACCGUGGUGUAUAAUUGAUUUUCCGUGAUGUGGAUUGUUAUCACCAGGAUGUUUAAUUGAUUUUCCGUGAUGUGUAUUGUUAUCAUCGGGGUGUAUAAUUGAUGUCCCAUGGCGUGUGUUGUUACCACCAGGUUGUAUAAUCGAUGUACCGUGAUGUGCAUUGUUAUCACUGGGGUGUAUAAUCGAUGUCCCGUGGUGUGUAUUGUUAUCACCGGGGUGUAUAAUAGAUGUCCAGUGGUGUGUAUUGUUAUCACCUUGAUGUAUAAUCGAUGUCCCGUGGUGUGUAUUGUUAUCACCGGGGUGUAUAAUCGAUGUCCCGUUGUGUGUAUUGUUAUCAACGUGGUGUAUAAUCGAUGUCCCGUGGUGUGAAUUGUUAUCAACGGGGUGUAUAAUCGAUGUCCCGUGGUGUGUAUUGUUAUCACCGUGGUGUAUAAUCGAUGUCCCGUGGUGUGUAUUGUUAUCACCGGGGUGUAUAAUCGAUGUCCCGUGGUGUGUAUUGUUAUCACCGUGGUGUAUAAUCGAUGUCCCGUGGUGUGUAUUGUUAUCACCGGGGUGUAUAAUCGAUGCCUUGUGGUGUGUAUUGUUAUCACCGUGGUGUAUAAUCGAUGUCCCUAGGUGUGUAUUGUUAUCACUGGGAUGUAUAAUUGAUGCCCCGUGGUGUGUAUUGUUAUCACCGUGGUGUAUAAUCGAUGUCCCGUGGUGUGUAUUGUUAUCAAAGUGGUGUAUAAUCGAUGUCCCAUGGUGUGUAUUGUUAUCACCGUGGUGUAUAAUCGAUUCCCCGUGGUUUAUAUUGUUAUCACCGGGGUGUAUAAUCGAUGUCCCGUGGUUUUUAUUGUUAUCACCGGGGUGUAUAAUCGAUGCCCCGUGGUUUUUAUUGUUAUCACCGGGGUGUAUAAUCGAUGCCCCGUGGUUUAUAUUCUCAUCACCGGGGUGUAUAGUCGAUGCCCCGUGGUUUGUAUUGUUAUCACCGGGCCGUAUAAUUGAUGUCCCGUGGUGUGUAUUGUUAUCACCGUGGUGAAUAAUCGAUGUCCUGUGGUGUGUAUUGUUAUCACUGUGGUGUAUAAUCGAUGUCCAGUGGUGUGUAUUGUUAACACCGUGAUGUAUAAUGUCCCGUGGUGUGUAUUUUUAUCACCGGGGUGUAUAAUCGAUGUCCCGUGGUGUGUAUUGUUAUCACCGUGGUGUAUAAUCGAUGUCCCGUGGUGUGUAUUGUUAUCACCGGGGUGUAUAAUCGAUGUCCCGUGGUAUGUAGUGUUAUCACCGGUAUUAAUAAAUACAUAUACAAAAUAAUUAGACUUUUUAAAUAAUGUCCAAAUUAAAUAGCAUGCACACAUUCCUUAAUAUUCCACAACAAAUCUUUAUAAGUAUUGUUCAUGUUUUGUAGAGAACUGGACAUGUCUUGCGACAAAUCGUGGAAGAUGAUUGAAAGACGGGUUUUGGGAUGGAUCCGUAAAUACGACCCGAAUGUAGUGCUGUUGUAUCGACCCAAGCCCACAAAGCGGGAUGUGUAUCCUCAAGUUAAGUACAUCGCUUCAAAGAGAUUCCUACCAUUUGUGGCGUCCGAGAGCGUUUUGCAAGGUUUUGUUAACGCUUGCACUACCGAGCUGCCACUGUCAGCCGUUCUACCAGCAUCAAUUAGGGAAGGUAAACAAUAUAGUAUAAA